GCAAGUAGCACAUGCAAGUCGAGCGAUGAUGCCCAACUAGCUGGGUGCGUUAGUGUCGCACGGGAGAGUCACACGUGAGUCUCCGGGAUAAGCCUCUGGGAUGAGCUUUGGUAACCGGCGUUUAAUACUGGAUAUGAUCUCUGGUCGCAUAAUGAGGUGGUGGAAAGAUAUGGUGUUUGGGCAUGUCAUCGCGUCGUAUCAGUUAGGUGUCGACGUAAUGACUCCGCAUGGCCGCCACGAGUAGCCGACCUGACACGGUGGCCGUGCGCCCUGGGACUGACUCACGCGCCAGACUCCUGCGGGAGACAGCACUCGAGAAUAGAGCGCAAUGGGCGACAGCCUGAUGCAACGGAUGCCCGCGAGGGAUGACUACCCUUGGGUUGUUAGCCUAUAAUAGUAGGGAAGAAGUGAAAGUGACGGUACCUGCAGAAAAAGCACCGGCUAACUACGUGCCAGCAGCCGCGGUAAUACGUAGGGUGCAAGCGUUGUCCGGAAUUAUUGGGCGUAAAGAGCUCGUAGGCGGUUUGUCGCGUCUGCUGUGAAAUCCCGAGGCUCAACCUCGGGCUUGCAGUGGGUACGGGCAGACUAGAGUGCGGUAGGGGAGAUUGGAAUUCCUGGUGUAGCGGUGGAAUGCGCAGAUAUCAGGAGGAACACCGAUGGCGAAGGCAGAUCUCUGGGCCGUAACUGACGCUGAGGAGCGAAAGCAUGGGGAGCGAACAGGAUUAGAUACCCUGGUAGUCCAUGCCGUAAACGUUGGGCGCUAGAUGUAGGGACCUUUCCACGGUUUCUGUGUCGUAGCUAACGCAUUAAGCGCCCCGCCUGGGGAGUACGGCCGCAAGGCUAAAACUCAAAGGAAUUGACGGGGGCCCGCACAAGCGGCGGAGCAUGCGGAUUAAUUCGAUGCAACGCGAAGAACCUUACCAAGGCUUGACAUACACCGGAAACGGCCAGAGAUGGUCGCCCCCUUGUGGUCGGUGUACAGGUGGUGCAUGGUUGUCGUCAGCUCGUGUCGUGAGAUGUUGGGUUAAGUCCCGCAACGAGCGCAACCCUCGUUCUAUGUUGCCAGCGGGUUAUGCCGGGGACUCAUAGGAGACUGCCGGGGUCAACUCGGAGGAAGGUGGGGAUGACGUCAAAUCAUCAUGCCCCUUAUGUCUUGGGCUUCACGCAUGCUACAAUGGCCGGUACAAAGGGCUGCGAUACCGUAAGGUGGAGCGAAUCCCAAAAAGCCGGUCUCAGUUCGGAUUGAGGUCUGCAACUCGACCUCAUGAAGUCGGAGUCGCUAGUAAUCGCAGAUCAGCAACGCUGCGGUGAAUACGUUCCCGGGCCUUGUACACACCGCCCGUCAAGUCAUGAAAGUCGGUAACACCCGAAGCCGGUGGCCUAACCCUUGUGGAAGGAGCCGUCGAAGGUGGAUCGGA
rnacentral:rRNA from 1 species